AGUGAACGCUGGCGGCAGGCCUAACACAUGCAAGUCGAACGGCAACACAGUAAGAUCGUGCCCUUACGGGUGGCGAGUGGCGGACGGGUGAGAAAUACAUAGGAAUCUACUUUUUCGGGGGGGAUAACGUAAGGCAACUUACACUAAUACCGAAUACGUCCUACGGGUUAAAGCAGCGGAUCUUCAGACUCUUCCCGUUUCAUAUAGCCGAUGCCGCAUUAGCUAGUUGGCUAGGUAACGGCUCACCAAGGCGACGAUACGUAGCCGACCUGAGAGGAUGAUCGGCCACACUGGAACUGAGACACGGUCCAGACUCCUACGGGAGGCAGCAGUAGGGAAUCUUCCGCAAUGGGCGAAAGCCUGACGGAGCAACGCCGCGUGAGUGAAGAAGGUCUUCGGAUUGUAAAGCUCUUUUAUUAGGGAAGAACAACUGUGUAAGUAACCAUGCCCGUUUUGACGGUACCUAAACAGAAAGCCCCGGCUAACUUCGUG
rnacentral:rRNA from 1 species